GACAGAGGGUGCAAACGUUGUUCGGAACUACUGGGCGUAAAGCGCGUGUAGGCGGCAGGGUAUGUCGGAUGUGAAAUCCCGUGGCUCAACCCCGGAACUGCAUUCGAAACUGCCUGGCUCGAGUACGGGAGAGGUUCGCGGAAUUCCUGGUGUAGAGGUGAAAUUCGUAGAUAUCAGGAGGAACACCGGUGGCGAAAGCGGCGAACUGGCCCGAUACUGACGCUCAUGGACGAAAGCGUGGGGAGCAAACAGG
rnacentral:rRNA from 1 species